rfam:Balearica pavonina gibbericeps contig23172, whole genome shotgun sequence.
CAAACGGCUCUUUUAAGAGCCCCCAUUUUUUCAUAGAAAGAGCUGU